rnacentral:rRNA from 1 species
GGAAAAGAAACUAACAAGGAUUCCCCUAGUAACUGCGAGUGAAGCGGGAAAAGCUCAAAUUUAAAAUCUGGCGGUCUUUGGCCGUCCGAGUUGUAGUCUGGAGAAGUGCUUUCCGCGCUGGACCGUGUACAAGUCUCUUGGAACAGAGCGUCAUAGAGGGUGAGAAUCCCGUCUUUGACACGGACUACCAGUGCUUUGUGAUGUGCUCUCAAAGAGUCGAGUUGUUUGGGAAUGCAGCUCAAAAUGGGUGGUAAAUUCCAUCUAAAGCUAAAUAUUGGCGAGAGACCGAUAGCGAACAAGUACCGUGAGGGAAAGAUGAAAAGCACUUUGGAAAGAGAGUUAAACAGUACGUGAAAUUGCUGAAAGGGAAACGCUUGAAGUCAGUCGCCUUGGCCAGGACUCAGCCUUGCUUUUGCUUGGUGCAUUUUCUGGUUGACGGGCCAGCAUCGAUUUUGACCGCUGGAAAAAGGUUAGGGGAAUGUGGCACCUUCGGGUGUGUUAUAGCCCUUAGUCGCAUACAGUGGUUGGGAUCGAGGACCGCAGCACGCCUUUAUGGCCGGGGUUCGCCCACGUUCGUGCUUAGGAUGCUGGCGUAAUGGCUUUAAACGACCCGUCUUGAAACACGGACCAAGGAGUCUAACAUGCCUGCGAGUGUUUGGGUGGAAAACUCGAGCGCGUAAUGAAAGUGAAAGUUGAGAUCCCUGUCGUGGGGAGCAUCGACGCCCGGACCUGAACUUCGGUGAUGGAUCUGCGGUAGAGCAUGUAUGUUGGGACCCGAAAGAUGGUGAACUAUGCCUGAAUAGGGUGAAGCCAGAGGAAACUCUGGUGGAGGCUCGUAGCGAUUCUGACGUGCAAAUCGAUCGUCAAAUUUGGGUAUAGGGGCGAAAGACUAAUCGAACC